rnacentral:rRNA from 1 species
UACGGGGGGGGCAAGCGUUGUCCGGAAUUAUUGGGCGUAAAGAGCUCGUAGGCGGUGUGUCGCGUCGGUCGUGAAAACUUUCAGCUUAACUGGGAGCGUGCGGUCGAUACGGGCAUCACUUGAGUACGGCAGGGGAGACUGGAAUUCCUGGUGUAGCGGUGAAAUGCGCAGAUAUCAGGAGGAACACCGGUGGCGAAGGCGGGUCUCUGGGCCGAUACUGACGCUGAGGAGCGAAAGCGUGGGGAGCGAACAGG